GAUGAACGCUGGCGGCGUGCCUAAUACAUGCAAGUCGAGCGAAUGGAUUAAGAGCUUGCUCUUAUGAAGUUAGCGGCGGACGGGUGAGUAACACGUGGGUAACCUGCCCAUAAGACUGGGAUAACUCCGGGAAACCGGGGCUAAUACCGGAUAACAUUUUGAACCGCAUGGUUCGAAAUUGAAAGGCGGCUUCGGCUGUCACUCAUGGAUGGACCCGCGUCGCAUUAGCUAGUUGGUGAGGUAACGGCUCACCAAGGCAACGAUGCGUAGCCGACCUGAGAGGGUGAUCGGCCACACUGGGACUGAGACACGGCCCAGACUCCUACGGGAGGCAGCAGUAGGGAAUCUUCCGCAAUGGACGAAAGCCUGACGGAGCAACGCCGCGUGAGUGAGGAAGGCUUUCGGGUCGUAAAACUCUGUUGUUAGGGAAGAACAAGUGCUAGUUGAAUAAGCUGGCACCUUGACGGUACCUAACCAGAAAGCCACGGCUAACUACGUGCCAGCCGCCGCAGUAA
rnacentral:rRNA from 1 species